UAUACCGACUACCGAGAUAUAGUCUGUGCUGCAGCUGCUCCAUCGUCAGACUGUUUUCCUGAUCACAUGACCGGUGCAGCCAUCGUAUCACAUCACACAUGGAAUCGAUAAAGAGGAUCCUGAUAGUGCGCUCUGUACAUCGUUAAGCGUUACAUACCGGUGACCAUCGCAAAAGCGAGUGGACCAAUUUACCUGGACGCCGGCGCCAGUCACCUUGUUUACGGAUAUCAGUCUGGUUUUGCAGUCGAUUGCCAGUGAUUAAUUAUCAGACUCGCACAAGAAAGAAGAUAUAAAAGCUGACAGCGCGAAAUUUGCUGCCUGUGUCAACUUUUGGUACGUCUUGUAAGUUUUCCGAACUCCGAGCGUUACGAUGGCUUCACAUCCUCAGAAGGUUGUGUUCUUGGUGUUAGCUGUUGCAAUCGGCAUUUUGUUGCCGCAGUAUAACACUGCUCCUUCGGAGCAAGCCGAGCAAGCAGACCAAGCGGAGCAACCGGCAGCCCGGACUAUUACGAUUCAUGAGGAAGCCCAUCUGACGCCAAUCGUCGAGAAAAACGACACUGGGUUCUUUGAUGAUUACCUCAAGCCCCGAGGAAAGGACUGCGACAGACGAAUCUUCCGUCCGCUGUGCACAUGAACUCAACUCUUUUGCCCAACGACCGCGUAGAUUUCACACUCUAACAAAGCAAAAUCGUGCGAAGUGUCAUAGUACAAUCCGUCAUCAACAUUUAACCCUACCGCCUAACGCAUCCGUAUUGUAACUCCUUAUGCAGACGUUACAAUUU